UACGUAGGGAGCAAGCGUUGUCCGGAAUCAUUGGGCGUAAAGCGCGCGUAGGUGGCUUCGUAAGUCCGUUGUGAAAGUCAAAGGCUCAACCUUUGAAAGCCGAUGGAUACUGCGGAGCUAGAGUACGGAAGAGGCGAGUGGAAUUCCUGGUGUAGCGGUGGAAUGCGCAGAUAUCAGGAGGAAUACCGGUGGCGAAGGCGGCAUCCUGGACCGACAUUGACGCUGAUGAGCGAAAGCUAGGGGAGCAAACGGG
rnacentral:rRNA from 1 species